GCUGGGCACAGGUGGCUUGUGCCUGUAAUCCCAGCUCCUUUGGCAGCUGAGAUAGUAGACUCAUAUGAGUUCAGGGGUUGUGGGCUAUGCUGAUCAGGUGUCUGCACUAAGGUCAGCAUCAGUAUGGUGACAUGUAGGAAUCUGUAGGUUACAAGAUUGUCUAAGAAGGGGUGAAAUGGCACAGGUCAAGAAUUGAGGAGGCCAAAGCUCCUGUGCUGAGUAGUGAGAUUUUGCCUGUGAUUGGUCCCUGCAGCACAGCCUGGGCAAGAGAGUAAGACAGUCUCUUU
rnacentral:SRP_RNA from 1 species